AACGAACGCUGGCGGCAUGCCUAACACAUGCAAGUCGAACGAGACCUUCGGGUCUAGUGGCGCACGGGUUCGUAACGCGUGGGAACCUGCCCUUAGGUUCGGAAUAACUCCCCGAAAGGGGUGCUAAUACCGGAUAAUGUCUUCGGACCAAAGAUUUAUCGCCUUUGGAUGGGCCCGCGUUGGAUUAGCUAGUUGGUAGGGUAAAAGCCUACCAAGGCGACGAUCCAUAGCUGGUCUGAGAGGAUGAUCAGCCACACUGGGACUGAGACACGGCCCAGACUCCUACGGGAGGAAGCAGUGGGGAAUAUUGGACAGUGGGCGAAAGCCUGAUCCAGCAAUGCCGCGUGAGUGAUGAAGGCAUUAGGGUUGUAAAGCUCUUUUACCCGGGAUGAUGAUGACAGUACCGGGAGAAUAAGCUCCGGCUAACUCCGUG
rnacentral:rRNA from 1 species